AAAGUGGCCAAACAAGACUUGAAAUUAUACAAUUUUAAAGUUAAAGGACUGUACAAUCAUCCAGAUAAACCAUCCACUGGCAGGUUUCUCUAGAAAUAUCCUGGAAAAAUAGCUUGUCUUGUCUCUGAGGCCUCCCCUGAGUCUGAGGGGCUGAGCCAGCACAGAAAAAGACGACCCAAUCAAUACCCUUGCAGGGAUGAAAAGAAGGACAUUUUGCUCCCAGGAAUUGCAGUGCUGCUACGAUUUCGAAUUACAUCACCUCAAGAAAGAAGAGACAGCCCCAUGGCAGAGCUGCAAAAGAGGACCAGUGCUCCACCUUGGUGAAAUACAGGAUGACUGGGGUGAAGGAGAUGAAGAUCAAAUUGAAGAAACCCAAGGUGGAGACAAAGUGUGCAGCUUCCCCAAAGUUGGCACUUCCGAGAAACAUCUUAAACAAGACCUGAAAUGAGAAAGAAGCUCUACAGUCACACAGAGACUUAGCCAGAGCAGAAAGGUAAUUCUGUUUCUCAAAGCUAAGUGAGUAUGAAGCAGCUGGUUCACAAAUGAAACCUUGAAUUCCAAAGCCUUCAGCAGCCCCUAAAAAUGCAGAUCUCAGACUCCACUGCUGGCAGCUGGUGUCCUCAAGUUGAAGACUGAAGAAAGCUUUCGGGAGAGCCAGCAAGAUGGCUAAAUAGGAACAGCUCUGGUCUGCAACUUCCAGAGAGAUCAACACAGAUGGUGAGUGAUUCUUGCAUUUUCAACUGAGGUACCCAAUUUAUCUUACUGGGACUGGUUGGACAGUGGGUACAGCCCAUGAAGGUGAGCUGAAGCAGUGCGGGGUGUUGCCUCGCACCCAGGAAGCCCAAAGGUUCAGGGUAUUUCCCUUUCCUAUCCAAGAAAAGCCUUAAGAAACGAUACCAGAAGGAACAUGCACUCUGAUCCAGAUACUGCAUUUUACCCACAAUCUUCACA